AUACUCUGGUUUCUCUUCAGAUCUCAUAAAUCUUUUGCCUUUUACUAAAGAUUUCCGUGGAGAGGAACAACUGUGAGUCUGAAACCAAUUUUAUGAGGCCUUACCUUGGCAAGGCU
ensembl:snRNA U5 U5 spliceosomal RNA